CCUCCGGUAGCUUAGUGGUUAGUGUUCUGGUCUGGUGGACCGUAAGUGGUGGGUUCGAUUCCCACCUGAGGCA
rnacentral:tRNA from 1 species